rnacentral:rRNA from 1 species
ACAGCAGUAGCCACGGUAAUACGGAGGGAGCUAGCGUUGUUCGGAAUUACUGGGCGUAAAGCGCACGCAGGCGGUUUGUUAAGUCAGAUGUGAAAUCCCCGAGCUUAACUUGGGAACUGCAUUUGAAACUAGCAAGCUAGAGUCUUGUAGAGGGGGGUAGAACUCCAGGUGUAGCGGUGAAAUGCGUAGAGAUCUGGAGGAAUACCGGUGGCGAAGGCGGCCCCCUGGACAAAGACUGACGCUCAGGUGCGAAAGCGUGGGGAGCAAACAGGAUUAGAUACCCCAGUAGUCCAUGUCUCUUAUAC